GUCUAUCACAGGCUCCAGGAUGUUAGUGUCAUAAGGAAAUUUGUCUUGGACUCAUUAUCAGUAUAUAAGUGAUGCUUUCAACUUUGUAAACCAACUUUUCCUGAAGAGAACGAUGGAUGCUCUGACAGUUCUUCUUUGUGUUCUUCUAACCACUACAGGCUGUCAAGGAUUCAGCAAAGCAACAACCAUUUGGUGGCCAUUGACAACAGACUUUCUAGACACAACAUUGGAUCCAUCAGCAGAACCAUGUGGUGACUACAUGACAGAUUGGAUGGGUGAAUUUUCCAGCCCUCAGUACCCAAACAAUUAUCCCAAUAAUGCACGGUGCACGUGGACCAUUCACAGCACAGGACAAACAACAG